UAGCGUAGGGGUUUUCACUAGAGAGAGAGAGAGAUGAGAGGGCUGGGGUUGUGUUGCGAAGGGGUCGAGUAUGACAUAAACGGGGAAGCUGAGCCAAAUAAAGAGAAAAUCAUUGUCCCCGUUAGAGUAGAGUCCUUUAGCAAAUCCAGGGAUCAUGCAACUGUGAUCCCCGCAAAGAGAAAGAGUGUUAAGAAAAUGGUGUGUAGUUGUUUUAUCCAAUGCUUCUCUCACAAGUGCUCCAAAACCAAAACCAAAACCACCAACAAGAAGGCUGUCUAUGGUACAGCCAAUUAUGGAAACUAAUCAAAGGGUACUACGGAUCUUUUUGCAACUGGCAAAUGAAAUAAGCACAGCUUGCUAGUGUUCUGCUUUACAGAUAUGAAGGUGGGGAGGGAAAUUGUUGUAAUAUUUUUGCUUGAUGCUUGAUGCUUGAUGUUUGAAUAAGGAAUAACAGAGUGAUUUCAUAA